CAAAUGUACUUAGUCAUAAUUAUUUUUAAUACAAGCCUGUGCUUGUAUGUGUGUGUAUAUUCAUAAAACUGCCAUUCAUAUUCCUUACAAAAGAAUUUCCUUGAUUUAUUGUUGCUAUAGUCAGGUGAUUUCCGUGUCCGUUUUUCUUUGUCUAGUCAACAGACUUUCACGAAACACCAUAUAUGUGGCAAGCCUAUGCUUGAGGAGGAUAUAGGUAAAUUAGAUAUAGUCUGAUUUAGUGGGAAGGACAAAUGUAUAUGCAAAUAAUUACCAUAGAGCUACAUGAUCCAACCUCAUAGCCAUUAGCCA
rnacentral:lncRNA from 1 species